AUUGAACGCUGGCGGCAUGCCUAACACAUGCAAGUCGAACGGUGAACGAGGGAGCUUGCUCCCUCCGGAUCAGUGGCGAACGGGUGAGUAACACGUGAGCAAUCUGCCCUGGACUCUGGGAUAAGCGUUGGAAACGACGUCUAAUACCGGAUACGAGGCGUGGGGGCAUCCCCAACGCCUGGAAAGAACUUCGGUCCAGGAUGAGCUCGCGGCCUAUCAGCUAGUUGGUGAGGUAACGGCUCACCAAGGCGACGACGGGUAGCCGGCCUGGGAGGGUGACCGGCCACCCUGGGACUGCGACACGGCCCAGACUCCUACGGGAGGCAGCAGUGGGGAAUAUUGCACAAUGGGCGCAAGCCUGAUGCAGCAACGCCGCGUGAGGGACGACGGCCUUCGGGUUGUAAACCUCUUUUAGCAGGGAAGAAGCGAAAGUGACGGUACCUGCAGAAAAAGCACCGGCUAACUACGUGCCAGCAGCCGCCGUAACAC
rnacentral:rRNA from 1 species